rnacentral:rRNA from 1 species
UAGCGAAAGCAUUAAGUGAACCACCUGGGGAGUACGAUCGCAAGGUUGAAACUCAAAGGAAUUGACGGGGGCCCGCACAAGCGGAGGAACAUGUGGUUUAAUUCGAUGAUACGCGAGGAACCUUACCUGGGCUUAAAUGCAGAGUGCAUGCGGUGGAAACACCCUUCCCUUCGGGGCUCUCUGCAAGGUGCUGCAUGGUUGUCGUCAGCUCGUGCCGUGAGGUGUCGGGUUAAGUCCCAUAACGAGCGCAACCCUUACCGUUAGUUGCCAGCAGGUCAAGCUGGGGACUCUAGCGGGACUGCCACCGUAAGGUGAGAGGAAGGUGGGGAUGACGUCAAAUCAGCACGGCCCUUAUGUCCAGGGCUACACACGUGUUACAAUGGCCGGUACAGAGGGCAGCUACUCCGCGAGGAGAUGCUAAUCUUUAAAGCCGGUCUCAGUUCGGAUUGGAGUCUGCAACCCGACUCCAUGAAGUUGGAUUCGCUAGUAAUCGCGCAUCAGCCAUGGCGCGGUGAAUACGUUCCCGGGCCUUGUACACACCGCCCGUCAAACCAUGGGAGCUGGGGGUGCCUGAAGUCUGUGAUCCCGAUUUAUCGGGAAGCGGCCUAGGGUAAAACCAGUGACUGGGGUUAAGUCGUAACAAGGUAACCAAGGGCGAA